GAACAGCUGGAAACGGCUGCUAAUACCGAAUACGUCUUUUCAUCGCAUGGUGAGAAGAAGAAAAGGAACGGGCCUCUACACAAAGCGGUCGCCGAAGGAGGGGUUUUUGCGUCUGAUUAGCUAGUUGGAGGGGUAACGGCCCAACAAGGCGACGAUCAGUAGCCCGGUCCUGAGAGGAUGAACGGCCACAUUGGGACUGAGACACGGCCCAGACUCCUACGGGAGGCAGCAGUGGGGAAUCUUCCGCAAUGGACGAAAGUCUGACGGAGCAACGCCGCGUGAGUGAAGACGGUCUUCGGAUUGUAAAGCUCUGUUAUACGGGACGAACGGCAAGGUGGUAAAUAGCCAUCAUGAGUGACGGUACCGUAAGAGAAAGCCACGGCUAACUACGUGCCAGCAGCCGCGGUAAU
rnacentral:rRNA from 1 species